ACCGCCUAAGAUGAAACAGUACAAAAAUCAAUCUUAUUUCAUUAUUAAAGCUGUGUAUUGUUGAUUAAUGAAUAUGAAAAGUUGUUACCUGUUUUGGGAGGUUUGGGACCAGUUCCUGGGUAUUGAAUCACACCACCUGGUCCAUAACCACCUCCAUAUCCACCUGUGCCAGGACAGAUCUUUGUUUACUACGCAUAUAUUCUUGAAGAGACCCAGGAAGUGUGUAGAAAUCCCACAUGAAAGACACACAACAGAUGUGGACAAAUGAAAAUCACUGACCCCCAGGGGUGACGCCUGUUCCAGCUCCCAGACCUCCACCAGUCCCAGUGCCUCCUGCUCCAAGGGUCCCUCCACCCACUCCCCCUGCUCCAAGGCCUCCAUAUCCUGGUACAACUCCAAGUCCACCACUGCCUGGACCAAAGGUGCUGGGCCUGAACCCUCCAGGUCCAACUCCUCCUGGUCCGACACCUCCAGGUACGACUCCUCCAGGUCCGACACCACCUGGUCCAACACCUCCUGGUCCGACACCUCCUGGUCCGACACCUCCUGGUACGACUCCUCCAGGUCCGACUCCUCCUGGUCUGACACCUCCUGGUCCGACACCUCCUGGUCCUUGACCACCGUAGCCACCUGGGAAAUAGCAUGAUUAGGUCACUUUCAGUAAAUCUGAGCAGAAAACACAAGCGAUACCUACCUCCACCAGCUCCUGGUCCAAAUCCUCCUAAACCUCCGCCAGCACCUCCUGGUCCAACUCCUCCACCAGGCUGAAAUCCAGUCCCAGCU